UACGUAGGGGGCAAGCGUUGUCCGGAUUUAUUGGGCGUAAAGAGCGUGUAGGCGGCUUUACAGGUCCGUUGUGAAAACUCGAGGCUCAACCUCGAGACGCCGGUGGAAACCGUAAAGCUAGAGUCCGGAAGAGGAGAGUGGAAUUCCUGGUGUAGCGGUGAAAUGCGCAGAUAUCUGGAGGAACACCGAUGGCGAAGGCAGGUCUCUGGGCCAUAACUGACGCUGAGAAGCGAAAGCAUGGGGAGCGAACAGG
rnacentral:rRNA from 1 species